rnacentral:misc_RNA from 1 species
CCGUUAACAAAAUCUGUAAGAUUCUCAUAGCCCAGAAAAAUUCCUGAGGGUAGUGUUUUGUAGUCUGCAGACACACGUGGUAAGAAUAAGGGCUUGGGGAAAGAACCAGGCCUUGAUGAAGAUUGCCAGGGCUAGCUGCAAAAAGAAGGCUGCAAACACCACUAUUGUAAGAUCAUUCCCCUCAACACAAGACUUGAGGUUCACAGCAACAAAGCAUGCUGAGUCAAUCCCAGCAGCAAGUAUAAUGAUCCAGUGGAGUAUCUCGACUGGAAUAACCAGCAGAAUAGAGCUCAGAAUAAAAAUAAAGAGAGAAUAGCCCCACAUACACCAAAACCGUAUGAGGCUAGCAGUUGUUCCCAGAUACUGAAGCAAGAAAUAAAAUGCCAAUGGUACAACAAUUGCAUAUCCAUAGAUUGCACAUGCUGCUACAUUUACAUAUCCAACAUCAAAGCUCCA